CAAUAUUUGAGUGUGGAACGCGUUACUGACAUACGUAGUUUUUCCUUGUUACCAUCCAGACGUGAUUAACAAUGAAGAGCUUCUUAGAUACCAACAAGCGUUUGAUUCGUAGACUUAUAGUUUCGUUUGCUGUGUUUGCUGCUUUACUACAGAUGGUAACAGCAGAUGAUGAUGAAGCCGCGAAAAAAGCAGAUCUUUCACCAUAUUAGUCAGAUUUUACAGCCGCAAAGCUACUGAAAAACGCUACCUCCAUUCUAAUGGAAAUACAAAUAAAGUUAAUUUAUAAAAACAAAAA